UACAGAGGUCUCAAGCGUUGUUCGGAUUCAUUGGGCGUAAAGGGUGCGUAGGUGGCGAGGUUAGUCAGGUGUGAAAUCUCGGGGGCUCAACCCCGAAACUGCACUUGAUACUGCCUUGCUAGAGUACUGGAGAGGAGAUUGGAAUUUACGGUGUAGCAGUGAAAUGCGUAGAUAUCGUAAGGAAGACCAGUGGCGAAGGCGAAUCUCUGGACAGUUACUGACACUGAGGCACGAAGGCCAGGGGAGCAAAACGGG
rnacentral:rRNA from 1 species